UAGGGAUUUUUCGUUCAAUGGGCGCAAGCCUGAACGAGCAAUGCCGCGUGAACGAGGAAGGUCUUCGGAUCGUAAAGUUCUGUUGAAGGGGAAAAAGAGCGGAGAGAGGAAAUGGUCUCCGAUUGAUAUUACCCUUCGAGGAAGUCACGGCUAACUACGUGCC
rnacentral:rRNA from 1 species